AGACCUCUUGCUGGCUGCCACAUCGGCACUGCCAACCGGUGGGGUGCAGCCCUGCUGAAGCCCCAGAGCUCAGCCCAGUGCUGGGCACAUAGUAGGCGCUCAGGAAAUGAUUGCUGAAUGUGGAAUGAAAGUCCCCAGCAGGCAAAAGGCUGUGACUUCUGUUAGUGGGGUGGUGGUCCUCUGGGGCGAGUGUAUGGAGAACUUCAAGGCCUCCUCCUGGCUGCCCAGGAAGUAGAGGGCGCCAAAGGCGACGUGCCGGCCGCCAGCUCCAGGCCGAGCCCCGAGCGCCUGCAGGAACACGCCCCUUCACCCGGCGCGGGACGCAGAGCUGCGAGAGAAUCUUGUUCAGCGCGGACUCAACGCCAGGGCGCCGCCUAGAGGUUGGUCUCUGUCUCGGCCUCACCCGCCGGGAGACCACAGAGCUGCUUCCCCAGCCGCCCGCCGCCAGAAAUUGGAAAAAAAAAAAAAAAA
rnacentral:lncRNA from 1 species